CUGACUAUCUGCUCUGCAAUGGGAUGGGAUCCGAAGCCCUCCGAGGGAUAAUACAGGCUCUCCCAUCCAACUCCUAUUCCGACACGUCCUCGUCGUGCAGAGUGGUAACAUGUGCCUCCAUGUAUCCUAGUGUAAUGGG
rnacentral:ribozyme from 1 species